CAGCCGCCGCGGUAAUACGUAGGGUGCAAGCGUUAAUCGGAAUUACUGGGCGUAAAGCGUGCGCAGGCGGUUUGUUAAGACAGAUGUGAAAUCCCCGGGCUCAACCUGGGAACUGCAUUUGUGACUGGCAAGCUAGAGUGUGGCAGAGGGGGGUGGAAUUCCGCGUGUAGCAGUGAAAUGCGUAGAUAUGCGGAGGAACACCGAUGGCGAAGGCAGCCCCCUGGGCCAACACUGACGCUCAUGCACGAAAGCGUGGGGAGCAAACAGGAUUAGAUACCCGAGUAGUCCCUGUCUCUUAUAC
rnacentral:rRNA from 1 species